rnacentral:rRNA from 1 species
UACGUAGGGGCUAGCGUUAUCCGGAAUUACUGGGCGUAAAGGGUGCGUAGGCGGUCUUUCAAGCCAGAAGUGAAAGGCUACGGCUCAACCGUAGUAAGCUUUUGGAACUGUAAGACUUGAGUGCAGGAGAGGAGAGUGGAAUUCCUAGUGUAGCGGUGAAAUGCGUAGAUAUUAGGAGGAACACCAGUGGCGAAGGCGGCUUUCUGGACUGUAACUGACGUUGAGGCGCGAAAGCGUGGGUAGCAAACAGGAUUAGAUACCCUGAUAGUCCCUGA